rnacentral:rRNA from 1 species
CGGACGGGUGAGUAAUGCUUGGGAAUCUGGCUUAUGGAGGGGGAUAACUGUGGGAAACUGCAGCUAAUACCGCGUAUUCUCUGAGGAGGAAAGGGUGGGACCUUAGGGCCACCUGCCAUAAGAUGAGCCCAAGUGGGAUUAGGUAGUUGGUGGGGUAAAGGCCUACCAAGCCUGCGAUCUCUAGCUGGUCUGAGAGGAUGACCAGCCACACUGGAACUGAGACACGGUCCAGACUCCUACGGGAGGCAGCAGUGGGGAAUAUUGCGCAAUGGGGGGAACCCUGACGCAGCCAUGCCGCGUGAAUGAAGAAGGCCUUCGGGUUGUAAAGUUCUUUCGGUAAUGAGGAAGGGAUGUUGUUAAAUAGAUAGCAUCAUUGACGUUAAUUACAGAAGAAGCACCGGCUAACUCCGUGCCAGCAGCCGCGGUAAUACGGAGGGUGCGAGCGUUAAUCGGAAUAACUGGGCGUAAAGGGCACGCAGGCGGACUUUUAAGUGAGAUGUGAAAUCCCCGAGCUUAACUUGGGAACUGCAUUUCAGACUGGGAGUCUAGAGUACUUUAGGGAGGGGUAGAAUUCCACGUGUAGCGGUGAAAUGCGUAGAGAUGUGGAGGAAUACCGAAGGCGAAGGCAGCCCCUUGGGAAUGUACUGACGCUCAUGUGC